rnacentral:rRNA from 1 species
GUAUGGGAUGGGGAUGCGUUCCAUUAGUUAGUUGGCGGGGUAACGGCCCACCAAGACAACGAUGGAUAGGGGUUCUGAGAGGAAGGUCCCCCACAUUGGAACUGAGACACGGUCCAAACUCCUACGGGAGGCAGCAGUGAGGAAUAUUGGUCAAUGGACGAGAGUCUGAACCAGCCAAGUAGCGUGAAGGAUGACUGCCCUAUGGGUUGUAAACUUCUUUUAUAUGGGAAUAAAACGUUCCACGUGUGGAAUUUUGUAUGUACCAUAUGAAUAAGGAUCGGCUAACUCCGUGCCAGCAGCCGCGGUAAUACGGAGGAUCCGAGCGUUAUCCGGAUUUAUUGGGUUUAAAGGGAGCGUAGGUGGAUUGUUAAGUCAGUUGUGAAAGUUUGCGGCUCAACCGUAAAAUUGCAGUUGAAACUGGCAGUCUUGAGUACAGUAGAGGUGGGCGGAAUUCGUGGUGUAGCGGUGAAAUGCUUAGAUAUCACGAAGAACUCCGAUUGCGAAGGCAGCUCACUGGACUGCAACUGACACUGAGGCUCGAAAGUGUGGGUAUCAAACAGGAUUAGAUACCCUGGUAGUCCACACAGUAAACGAUGAAUACUCGCUGUUUGCGAUAUACAGCAAGCGGC